GUGAACAAUUAAGGGCGCGCGGUGGAUGCCUAGGCUCUCGGAGGCGAAGAAGGACGCGAUAAGCCGCGAUAGUCCACGGCGAGGUGCAAGUAACCCUUGACCCGUGGGUUUCCGAAUGGGGCAACCCGGCCGUCUAGAUGACGGUCAUGCAUUAUCAUGCAGGCGAACGCGGGGAACUGAAACAUCUCAUUACCCGCAGGAGAAGAAAACAAAAUGUGAUUCCCCCAGUAGUGGCGAGCGAACGGGGAAGAGCCCAAACCGGUAGCGUUUCGGCGAUACCGGGGUCAUGGGACCACGCCAUUCGAAACAAGAUGAAGUGCAAUUACCUGGAAAGGUAAGCCGCGGAGGGUGAUAGCCCCGUGCACGUCAAUUCUUGUGGAGAUAGUGGAAUCCCGAGUAGGGCGGGACACGAGAAAUCCUGCCUGAAUUCGCCAGGACCUCCUGGCAAGGCUAAAUACUCCCGAGAGACCGAUAGUGAACCAGUACCGCGAGGGAAAGGUGAAAAGUACCCCGAGCAGGGGGGUGAAAUAGACCCUGAACCCGCGCGCCUACAAGCGGUCGGAGCUGCCUUGUGCAGUGACGGCGUGCCUUUUGCAUAAUGAGCCUACGAGUUAGUCGUCACCAGCGAGGUUAAGGGCUUCAGGCCCGUAAGCCGAAGUGAAAGCGAGCCUUAACAGGGCGUCAAGUUGGUGGCGCUAGACGCGAAACCUUGUGAUCUACCCACGAGCAGGUUGAAGUCGCGGUAACACGUGAUGGAGGACCGAACCGGUAAACGUUGAAAAGUUUUCGGAUGACUCGCGGGUAGGGGUGAAAGGCCAAUCAAACUGGGAAAUAGCUCGUACUCUCCGAAAUGCAUUUCGGUGCAGCCUGUGAUGUUCUGUUCCAGAGGUAGAGCUACUGGUUGGACGCGAGGGCUUCACCGCCUAUCAAAUCCGGAUAAACUCCGAAUGCUGGAACACGAAAUCAUGGAGUGAGCCCGCGGGUGCUAAGGUCCGCGGACGAGAGGGAAAGAACCCGGACCACCGGCUAAGGUCCCGGAUGGACAGUUAAGUUGAUCAAACGAGGUGGGAUCGCUGAGACAGCUAGGAUGUUGGCUUGGAAGCAGCCAUUCAUUUAAAGAGUGCGUAACAGCUCACUAGUCGAGCGAUCCCGCGUGGAUAAUACACGGGCAUCAAACUGUCAACCGAAGCCGUGGGGUCAGCGAAAAGCUGACCGGUAGGAGAGCAUUCCUGCCAGCGUUGAAGGUCACCCGCGAGAGUGACUGGAGCGGCAUGAAAAGCAAAUGUAGGCAUAAGUAACGAUAAUGGGGGCGAGAACCCCCCACGCCGCAAGACCAAGGCUUCCCCGGCAAUGUCAAUCAGCCGGGGGUCAGCCGGCCUCUAAGGCUAACCCGAAGGGGGAUGCCGACGAGAAACGGGUUAACAUUCCCGUGCUUCUCGUCACCGUGACGCGGUGACGGGGUGAUGAAUGGACCGCGCGCUGACGGAAUAGCGCGUUGAAGGCCGUACCCUUCGAGGGUGGUAGUCAAGCACGCCACCCGAGGCGAUAGCCGAUAGUACCACGAGACUCCGGUCGAGUGGAUAGCGUCCAGGCAAUUUACCCCCGAGAAAACCCGCUAAACUUCAAGUGACGAGGAACCGUACUGUAAACGGACACACGUGGUCGGGUAGAACAUACCAAGGCGCUCGAGUGAUUCAUGGUCAAGGAACUAGGCAAAAUAGUCCUGUAACUUCGGGAAAAAGGACGCUCUAGUGAUAGAGCCGCAGAGUAAUGGCCCAGGCGACUGUUUACCAAAAACACAUGGCUAUGCCAAAUCGAAAGAUGACGUAUAUGGCCUGACACCUGCCCGGUGCCGGAAGGUUAAGAGGAGAGCUCAUCGGAAACGAGAAGGUUUGAAUUGAAGCCCCGGUAAACGGCGGCCGUAACUAUAACGGUCCUAAGGUAGCGAAAUUCCUUGUCGGGU
rnacentral:rRNA from 2 species